AUGAUUUUGGAUCCGACUGAGUGGCGAACUGGUGAGUAACACGUGGGUAACCUGCCCAGAAGAAGGGGAUAACACCUGGAAACAGAUGCUAAUACCGUAUAACAACAAGAACCACAUGGUUCUUGUUUGAAAGCUGGCCUUUGUGCUAGUGCUUCUGGAUGGACCCGCGGCGUAUUAGCUAGUUGGUGAGAUAAUAGCUCACCAAGGCAAUGAUACGUAGCAGACCUGAGAGGGUAAUCUGCCACAAUGGGACUGAGACACGGCCCAUACUCCUACGGGAGGCAGCAGUAGGGAAUCUUCCACAAUGGACGAAAGUCUGAUGGAGCAACGCCGCGUGAGUGAAGAAGGGUUUCGGCUCGUAAAACUCUGUUGUUAGAGAAGAACAGCCGUGAGAGCAACUGCUCACGGUAUGACGGUAUCUAACCAGAAAGUCACGGCUAACUACGUGCCAGCAGCCGCGGUAAUACGUAGGUGGCAAACGUUGUCCGGAUUUAUUGGGCGUAAAGGGAGCGCAGGCGGUUUAUUAAGUCUGAUGUGAAAGCCUUCGGCUUAACCGGAGAAGUGCAUCGGAAACUGAUAAACUUGAGUGCAGAAAAGGAUAGUGGAACUUCAUGUGUAGCGGUGAAAUGCGUAGAUAUAUGAAGGAACACCAGUGGCGAAGGCGGCUAUCUGGUCUGUAACUGACGCUGAGGCUCGAAAGCAUGGGUAGCAAACAGGAUUAGAUACCCUGGUAGUCCAUGCCGUAAACGAUGAAUGCUAGGUGUUGGAAGGUUUCCGCCUUUCAGUGCCGCAGCUAACGCAUUAAGCAUUCCGCCUGGGGAGUACGACCGCAGGUUGAAACUCAAAGGAAUUGACGGGGACCCGCACAAGCGGUGGAGCAUGUGGUUUAAUUCGAUGC
rnacentral:rRNA from 2 species